AAACAAUGAAGUUUACCCAAAAAGAACGUAGUCAAAAGAUGAUUGAAGAAGAAUCAUGGUAGAAGAUGCCACUGCAAGCUUAUACCCAAGAAUGUGAUUGGGAGUUUGAGACUGGCCAUAAAGGCAAUUGAAAAGCUAUGCAAAGUUAAUGAGAAAAACAGAAAAAGAGAGAAGAAAAACACCAUGGGAAACAUGCUUAGAAAUCAGAAGUCAACUCAAGAAAAUUAAAACCUCAUUUACUUUAACACUGGUCAGUCUUUUAAGAGUACAUCAUUAAUUAUAAACUUUCAGACUCUUCAAUGUUCUUCUAUGAUUGGGUCCCCAUUCUAAUGAAAAUUGUCCAAUGAGGAUCUUUGAAG
rnacentral:misc_RNA from 1 species